UACGUAGGGGGCAAGCGUUGUCCGGAUUUAUUGGGCGUAAAGAGCGUGUAGGCGGCCAAGCAGGUCAGCUGUGAAAACUCGAGCUCAACCUCGAGACGCCGGUGGAAACCAUCAGACUAGAGUCCGGAAGAGGAGAGUGGAAUUCCUGGUGUAGCGGUGAAAUGCGCAGAUAUCAGGAAGAACACCCGUGGCUAAGGCGGCUCUCUAGUACGGUACUGACGCUGAGACGCGAAAGCGUGGGGAGCGAACAGGAUUAGAACCGUACGAG
rnacentral:rRNA from 1 species